rnacentral:rRNA from 1 species
GAUGAACGCUGACAGAAUGCUUAACACAUGCAAGUCGAUGGGGAAGUGGUGCUUGCACCAUGGCAACCAUGGCGGACGGGUGAGUAACGCGUAAGGGACUUACCUGCAGGACUGGGAUAACAGGGGGAAACUCCUGACAAGACCGGAUAAUGUCAUGGAGCUGCAUGGCUUUAUGAUGAAAGGAGACGCCUGCGGAGAGCCUUGCGUCCUAUUAGCUAGUUGGUGAGGUAAUGGCUCACCAAGGCGAAGAUAGGUAGCCGGCCUGAGAGGGUGGACGGCCACAAGGGGACUGGGAGACGGCCCUUACUCCUACGGGAGGCAGCAGUGGGGAAUAUUGGACAAUGGGGGCAACCCUGAUCCAGCAAUUCUGUGUGCACGAAGAAGGUUUUCGGAUUGUAAAGUGCUUUCAGCAGGGAAGAAGUAAGUGACGGUACCUGCAGAAGAAGCGACGGCUAAAUACGUG